GUGAGCGCUGGCGGUAGGCCUAACACAUGCAAGUCGAACGGCAGCACCGUAAGAGCUUGCUCUUACGGGUGGCGAGUGGCGGACGGGUGAGGAAUACAUCGGAAUCUACUUUUUCGUGGGGGAUAACGUAGGGAAACUUACGCUAAUACCGCAUACGACCUACGGGUGAAAGCAGGGGAUCUUCGGACCUUGCGCGAUUGAAUGAGCCGAUGUCGGAUUAGCUAGUUGGCGGGGUAAAGGCCCACCAAGGCGACGAUCCGUAGCUGGUCUGAGAGGAUGAUCAGCCACACUGGAACUGAGACACGGUCCAGACUCCUACGGGAGGCAGCAGUGGGGAAUAUUGGACAAUGGGCGCAAGCCUGAUCCAGCCAUACCGCGUGGGUGAAGAAGGCCUUCGGGUUGGAAAGCCCUUUUGUUGGGAAAGAAAAGCAGCAGGUUAAUACCCCGCUGUUCUGACGGUACCCAAAGAAUAAGCACCGGCUAACUUCG
rnacentral:rRNA from 1 species